UAUGUAAAAAAAUUGUCGACGAUUAUUUUCAAGCUGCUUUCACACAUUACAGUUUAUUCAGCGAACUGUUUUUACUCCAUUGAUUUUUCUUUAACAGAACAGUCUUUUGCCUCGGGAUCCCGUCUCGUUACGAUAAUCUUUAAGGCUAGGAUUAGGGAGAUUAUUACAGACAUAUUUUUUUAUUUCCCUUCAUACAGGAAGUGGUUAACAGGUUGUAAAUUUCCUGUUCAUUUUAAAUAGGUCCGACGGACUCCUAAAUUGAUUAAGAAGAAUCAGCAUCCAAAGAGACUCUUCAGCUUUAAUGAGAAAACUUCAAGCAGGGCUUUUACAAGACGACCAGAGGGAUGGUAUCAGUGAAAGGCACUCAGUGUUCAGUUAUUAAUCUCCCGCCGCCGUUGGCCCUUUCAUAAAAGGAGGUUACUGCAGGAAGUCAAAAGUAUAUCUGAGUUUUCCAUCUUCAAUCCCUGUAGAGGUCACUGUUGCUUGGCACAGCUGAAAAACAACUGAAGCUCAAAAGGAAGGAACACACAUCCAGAUGGCAGACUCUUAACUGAGCUUGGAUUAAUGGGAGGACGGGCAAGAACUGCAUCAAACUCCUCUUAAGGACCUUUGAAGAACAACACUGCUAAUCGCUCAUAAGGACGCUGUAGAACAUGUUUGCUGGCCUCGGUGUUGGAAUGAUGGGACAGCAGAUGAAGAAGAAACCUGAGUGUGCUGAAGAUUUUAGGUUGAAAAUGAAACCAACCACUUUGUAUUCUCAGUUUUACCAGGUAAUAUCUUAAAUAUCCAAAACAACAACAUUUAUGAAAUAAACUAUGUACUGUAUAUAUGCCUAUCAUUUUAUGUAAGCUAUUAAUAUAGAUCUGAUUUGUUUAGAGUACUUUGAAUGUUGUGCAAAGUUUGACUAGCUACAGUAUGUAGUCAUUGUGAAUUCAUGAAUUUAUUGGGUUCUCCAACUGGGAGA